rnacentral:rRNA from 1 species
AUGAUGAACUCUGUCGAUAUUCUCAGAGGAUUGCCUGCCCUGACUGCUCUGUCGCUGUAUGUGGAGACGCCGCCUGAUGACAAUAUCAUCUUUGAUAAGGCCGGGUUCUCAGUUCUCAAGUACUUCAAGUUUACGUUCAUGCGGGGUAUAGCUUGGGUAAAAUUUGAGGCGGGUGCAAUGCCUAAUCUCUGGAAGCUCAAGCUAGUUUUCAAUGCCAUCCCCCCAAUGGACCAACAACUUAUUCUCUGUUCGAACCAUCCCCAGUGGAAAACAUUUGGACAUGGUACGGCAUUAAUCAGCAUCGAUUAUAUGCCAGGCCUUAGAGAGAUCUUCACAAAAUUUGGGGGUGCAGCUGCUGAUCUGGAGUAUGUCUCGAGGAUUGGUGUAGUUAGUAAUCAUCCGACCAAUCCUAUAAUUGAUGUGCAAUUAGCGGAUUCUGGUUCCUAUGUCGAUGAAAGCACCGAAACCGAAAUAACAAGCACAGAUAAUCUGGAGGAAAGACCAGAUGAGAUAAUUAAAUCUGGUUCUAAGAAUACUAGUCAAGGUCGUUGA